UACGGAGGGUGCAAGCGUUAUCCGGAUUUACUGGGUUUAAAGGGUGCGCAGGCGGAUAUGUAAGUCAGUGGUGAAAUCUCCGGGCUUAACCCGGAACUGCCGUUGAUACUAUAUAUCUUGAAUGCCGUGGAGGUAAGCGGAAUAUGUCAUGUAGCGGUGAAAUGCUUAGAUAUGACAUAGAACACCUAUUGCGAAGGCAGCUUACUACACGGAGAUUGACGCUCAUGCACGAAAGCGUGGGGAUCAAACAGGG
rnacentral:rRNA from 1 species